GAGCAAACACAGCUCUUCUAGAAUUUUUCUAGCAGGAUUUCUAAAUUUAGUUGAAAUCUCCA
ensembl:snRNA Gm26087 U7 small nuclear RNA